rnacentral:tRNA from 1 species
GGGCGUGGCGGAAUUGGUAGACGCGUUGGAUUGAGGGUCCAAUAUUUAAUCGUGUACGGGUUCAAGUCCCGUCGCCC